rnacentral:tRNA from 1 species
AAGGAAGUAACAGAAAAUAGUAAGCACUGCUAAUCCUUACGCACCAUGGUUAAAAUCCAUGGCUUCCUUG